rnacentral:rRNA from 1 species
UCCUGGCUCAGGAUGAACGCUAGCGGCAGGCUUAAUACAUGCAAGUCAAGGGGGUAGCAAUACAACCGGCGCACGGGUGAGUAACGCGUACACAACAUACCAUAUACUGGAGUAUAGCUUUGGGAAACUGAAGGUAAUCCUCCAUAACAUUGCGAGAGGGCAUCUGAUUGCAAUUAAAGUUCCGGCGGUAUAUGAUUGGUGUGCGUUUGAUUAGCUAGUUGGUAGGGUAACGGCCUACCAAGGCGACGAUCAAUAGCUGGCGUGAGAGCGCGACCAGCCACACUGGAACUGAGACACGGUCCAGACUCCUACGGGAGGCAGCAGUAGGGAAUAUUGGACAAUGGGCGAAAGCCUGAUCCAGCCAUGCCGCGUGAUAGAUGAAGGCCCUCUGGGUUGUAAAUAUCUUUUAUCUGGGAAGAAACUCCUCUAUUCUUAGAGGCCUGACGGUACCAGAGGAAUAAGCACCGGCUAACUCCGUG